GACGAACGCUGGCGGCGUGCCUAAUACAUGCAAGUUGAGCGAUGAAGCUUGGUGCUUGCACCAAUUUGAAGAGCAGCGAACGGGUGAGUAACGCGUGGGGAAUCUGCCUUUGAGCGGGGGACAACAUUUGGAAACGAAUGCUAAUACCGCAUAACAACUUUAAACAUAAGUUUUAAGUUUGAAAGAUGCAAUUGCAUCACUCAAAGAUGAUCCCGCGUUGUAUUAGCUAGUUGGUGAGGUAAAGGCUCACCAAGGCGAUGAUACAUAGCCGACCUGAGAGGGUGAUCGGCCACAUUGGGACUGAGACACGGCCCAAACUCCUACGGGAGGCAGCAGGAGGGAAUCUUCGGCAAUGGACGAAAGUCUGGCCGAGCAACGCCGCGUGAGUGAAGAAGGUUUUCGGAUCGUAAAACUCUGUUGGUAGAGAAGAACGUUGGUGAGAGUGGAAAGCUCAUCAAGUGACGGUAACUACCCAGAAAGGGACGGCUAACUACGUG
rnacentral:rRNA from 1 species